rnacentral:rRNA from 1 species
UACGUAGGGUGCAAGCGUUGUCCGGAAUUAUUGGGCGUAAAGAGCUCGUAGGCGGUUUGUUGCGUCGGCUGUGAAAUCCCGAGGCUCAACCUCGGGUCUGCAGUCGAUACGAGCAAACUAGAGUGUUGCAGGGGAGACUGGAAUUCCUGGUGUAGCGGUGAAAUGCGCAGAUAUCAGGAGGAACACCGGUGGCGAAGGCGGGUCGCUGGGCAACAACUGACGCUGAGGAGCGAAAGCGUGGGGAGCGAACAGG